rnacentral:rRNA from 1 species
UGGGGAAUAUUGGACAAUGGGCGCAAGCCUGAUCCAGCCAUGCCGCGUGAGUGAUGAAGGCCCUAGGGUUGUAAAGCUCUUUCACCGGUGAAGAUAAUGACGGUAACCGGAGAAGAAGCCCCGGCUAACUUCGUGCCAGCAGCCGCGGUAAUACGAAGGGGGCUAGCGUUGUUCGGAUUUACUGGGCGGAAAGCGCACGUAGGCGGACUAUUAAGUCAGGGGUGAAAUCCCGGGGCUCAACCCCGGAACUGCCUUUGAUACUGGUAGUCUUGAGUUCGAGAGAGGUGAGUGGAAUUCCGAGUGUAGAGGUGAAAUUCGUAGAUAUUCGGAGGAACACCAGUGGCGAAGGCGGCUCACUGGCUCGAUACUGACGCUGAGGUGCGAAAGCGUGGGGAGCAAACAGG